AAGAUAUGGACUAUCACAUGCUACACCGCGGUGCGGGGAGGACAAGUAAGAACCAAAGUUGUCGGACGUGGUUGGAAGGCAUUUGUAGGUGACAAAGCCUUAGUUUUUGGGGAUGUUUGUGUCUUCAAAUUGAUCAGAGGUCUCAGAAGUAUUUCCUUCAAGGUCACCAUUUUCAGAGCACCUCAACCGGCCAAGUCCCGCACUUUACAAUUACAAGGGAGUGGUCAAUCGCUUCUGUAGGUGAGGCUGCUUCUUCCAGGCAUGUGGGUUGCUCCGGGGCUAAAUGUAAGGGUAAAGAGAAGAGCUCUUCUCUUGACAGAAACAAGGCAUGUCCUUUCUCCUCAAUUGGUUUCAUUCAAUCGCAGUACAGAAAAACAAGACGAAGAUUGCAAAUGGCAAUGACGAAGAAUUAUCUCCCUCAUCGCUGCCUGAACAUACCAGCUGCCUUCACAAGGGAUCACCUAAACUUGGAAAGCAGAAAAGAGAUGGUUACUCUAAUGGUCGGAAACUGGUCAUGGUCGACUAAGUUGAUUAUCAGCAACCCAUCAUUGUCCGGAGCCAGGUUCAGGGGUGGGUUCAGUGCUUUUGCGAAGGAAAACUCUCUGGAAGCGGGAGAUUUGUGCACUUUUGAGCUCAUUCACAGGGCAAAACUGGUAUUCAGAACUUCCAUCAGCACGGUCAAAAAAGGAUCAAAACGAUUAGAGAAGGGAGAAGAAGUGUGAUAUCACUGCAGCAUAUGGAAAAGUUUACUUUUGUUUAAUUUGAUUCCACUCUCCCUUAAUUACACCGUCUAAUGAUGUUUUCGAUAGCUCAGCUGUACUUGUGAAAGCUCGGACCUAUAUUCGGACAUAACAAUAUCUGCCUUCAACGUGGGAUCGAC